UACGUAGGGUGCAAGCGUUGUCCGGAAUUAUUGGGCGUAAAGAGCUCGUAGGCGGUUUGUCGCGUCUGCUGUGAAAACGCGAGGCUCAACCUCGCGCCUGCAGUGGGUACGGGCAGACUAGAGUGCGGUAGGGGAGAUUGGAAUUCCUGGUGUAGCGGUGGAAUGCGCAGUUAUCAGGAGGAACACCGAUGGCGAAGGCAGAUCUCUGGGCCGUUACUGACGCUGAGGAGCGAAAGCGUGGGGAGCGAACAGG
rnacentral:rRNA from 1 species